rnacentral:rRNA from 1 species
AUGAACGCUGACAGAAUGCUUAACACAUGCAAGUCAACUUGAAUUUGGGUUUUUAACUUAGGUUUGGGUGGUGGACGGGUGAGUAACGCGUAAAGAACUUGCCUCACAGCUAGGGACAACAUUUGGAAACGAAUGCUAAUACCUAAUAUUAUGAUAAUAGGGCAUCCUAUAAUUAUGAAAGCUAUAAGCGCUGUGAGAGAGCUUUGCGUCCCAUUAGCUAGUUGGAGAGGUAACGGCUCACCAAGGCGAUGAUGGGUAGCCGGCCUGAGAGGGUGAUCGGCCACAAGGGGACUGAGACACGGCCCUUACUCCUACGGGAGGCAGCAGUGGGGAAUAUUGGACAAUGGACCGAGAGUCUGAUCCAGCAAUUCUGUGUGCACGAUGAAGUUUUUCGGAAUGUAAAGUGCUUUCAGUUGGGAAGAAACAAAUGACGGUACCAACAGAAGAAGUGACGGCUAAAUACGUG